UGCAUCUAGAUUAGAGUUUGAUCCUGGCUCAGGAUGAACGCUAGCGAUAGGCCUAACACAUGCAAGUCGAGGGGCAUCACAUGAGGCAGCAAUGCCGAUGGUGGCGACCGGCGCACGGGUGAGUAACACGUAUGCAACCUGCCUUCAACAAGGGGAUAACCCGUUGAAAAACGGACUAAUACCCUAUAAUACAGGGGUCCCGCAUGGGGAUAUUUGUUAAAGAUUGAUCGGUUGAAGAUGGGCAUGCGUUCCAUUAGCUGGUUGGUGAGGUAACGGCUCACCAAGGCAACGAUGGAUAGGGGAACUGAGAGGUUUAUCCCCCACACUGGUACUGAGACACGGACCAGACUCCUACGGGAGGCAGCAGUGAGGAAUAUUGGUCAAUGGACGCAAGUCUGAACCAGCCACGUCGCGUGAAGGAAGACGGCCCUACGGGUUGUAAACUUCUUUUGUAAGGGAAUAAAGUGUAGUACGCGUACUAUUUUGCAUGUACCUUACGAAUAAGGAUCGGCUAACUCCGUGCCAGCAGCCGCGGUAAUACGGAGGAUCCGAGCGUUAUCCGGAUUUAUUGGGUUUAAAGGGUGCUCAGGCGGGAGAUUAAGUCGGCGGUGAAAUUUUGCAGCUCAACUGUAAAAGUGCCUUCGAAACUGGUUUCCUUGAGUGUGGAUGAGGUAGGCGGAAUUUGUGGUGUAGCGGUGAAAUGCAUAGAUAU
rnacentral:rRNA from 1 species